rfam:Schistosoma mattheei strain Denwood, Zambia genome assembly, scaffold: SMTD_scaffold0009710
GCACUGCUGAGGAGUCCCACAAUAGGACAAAACGGCCGUCCGGUGC